rnacentral:rRNA from 14 species
CUUGGUGCACAGUGCUUGUGGUACCCACGCGAUCCCAUCUCGGACUCGGCCGUGAAACCAGACAGCGCCGAUGGUAUCAACGCUCAAGCGUUGGAAGAGUAGGUCGCCGCCAUGG